GUAUUUGUGUGGUUAGAGCAUCUGACUCAUAAUCAGAGGGUCCUUGGUUCGAGCCCAAGUGGGACCA
rnacentral:tRNA from 1 species